rnacentral:rRNA from 1 species
UACGAAGGGGGCUAGCGUUGCUCGGAAUUACUGGGCGUAAAGCGCACGUAGGCGGCUUUCUAAGUCGGGGGUGAAAUCCUGGAGCUCAACUCCAUAACUGCCUUCGAUACUGGAGAGCUUGAGUCCGGGAGAGGUGAGUGGAACUGCGAGUGUAGAGGUGUAAUUCGUAGAUAUUCGCAAGAGCACCAGUGGCGAAGGCGGCUCACUGGCCCGGUACUGACGCUGAGGUGCGAAAGCGUGGGGAGCAAACAGG